rnacentral:rRNA from 1 species
UACGGAGGGUGCAAGCGUUGUUCGGAUUUACUGGGCGUAAAGCGCGUGUAGGCGGUUCGGCAAGUUUCUUGUGAAAGCCCUGGGCUCAACCCAGGAAGUGCAAGGGAUACUACCGAACUUGAGUCCGGGAGAGGGGAGUGGAAUUCCAGGUGUAGAGGUGAAAUUCGUAGAUAUCUGGAGGAACACCAGUGGCGUAGGCGACUCCCUGGACCGAGACUGACGCUGAGACGCGAAAGCGUGGGUAG